AGUGGGCAGAUCUACAUCAUGCAUUUAAAGCUCAUGACUUCUCCCAAAGAAUACUGGGAAUGGGUGUGCUUUAAGUGUGUGGUGUGGAUCUGCCCACA